rnacentral:rRNA from 1 species
UACGUAGGGUGCGAGCGUUAAUCGGAAUUACUGGGCGUAAAGCGUGCGCAGGCGGUUUGUUAAGACAGAUGUGAAAUCCCCGGGCUUAACCUGGGAACUGCAUUUGUGACUGGCAAGCUAGAGUAUGGCAGAGGGGGGUAGAAUUCCACGUGUAGCAGUGAAAUGCGUAGAUAUGUGGAGGAACACCGAUGGCGAAGGCAGCCCCCUGGGUUAACACUGACGCUCAUGCACGAAAGCGUGGGGAGCAAACAGG